GUGAUAGCUAGGCUGCAAUCCUGUGCUAGUUUCCUUCACAUUGGUCCUAUUGAGAUCCAUGUCUAGGACUGCACUAUUAGAAAAUAAGGAUAUAUAUUCCACUCUUCCUUCUCCCAGUACAAAAAGAUCAAAAGAAAAUCAAAAUCAACAAUCACAUGGUCACAUAAUGGCUCAUACACUUAAGGCCAGGUAUUGCCAAUUUGAAACUUUUGGGUACCAGUGACACCAUUACCUCCUAUGGUGCCUAAGAAAGGUCCUAGUUUAAAAAUAAAAUAAAAAUAAAAAUCCUACAAAAAUUCACAAGAUACUAUUUGUUUGUCCUGCUUGGUCCACGUUUGACUGGCUUGGCAUCUCCUACAUUGAACAUGCUUCCUUAAACAUAUCCACAUUUCACUGGAUUCCAACAUUUGAUACCCAUCCUUACUUCUUCUCUAAGUGCAGAGGGAGUUGACACAAGUGUUGCCCCUCCUCCUUCAUUGAAGUUGUAUGCGUGUCAUCUAGGCAUUUUGUGGUCCUUUUUUGUUUUUUACAUGAACCAUUCUGUGUUAUGCCACACUCUACAGCAGCUGAUUUAUGAAAAACAUCCACAGAACUUUCUUAAAAUUCCAGAUGUCCUCAAUGCUCCCCAAAUGCUGGCACCUCCCACAUAAAGCUGUGAGGGCUAUAAAUCAGGAUGGCCUCCUUCUGCAUCUGAAAAUAUUGCCUUUGGGAAGAAGCAGGCAGUAUAUUGCCUAGCCAGAGUAAGCUAAGCUGCUUAGACUAACAUUGGGUCCAGACGUUAACAGCUGGCCCCUGCCUUAGCCAGAGUUUCUGCAUUUUAUUUAAGUAAUGCUACUAUUACUUCUGCUGCUGCUGUUGUUGCUGCUGCUGCUCCUCCUCCUACUAAUAAUAAUAAUGUGUCCUGGCCCUGUGUCUUACCUUUUUUUCUUUGUGUGCAAAUAGUUAUUAUUUUAGAAUUACCCAUUUCGGUUAGGGCCAUAGGAUGCUUGCUCCAUGGACUUCCAAAAAUAUGAAAGGUAAUAUAUAGAGAACAGUAAAGCAGAGUGUUCUCCAAAAGGCAUGAAACUUGGUAGAAAGUGUAUGUGUCAGAUUUGCUGUGUAUUAAUUUAACUAAUAAAACUACAAUGGACAAUGGCAUUCCAUUUCAGCACAUUUAAGAGGAAGGAUGGGAACAUGUAACAAACUGCCCAACAAAACAGAGUGUGCUUAGCACUACAUUGUUCUGGAGUUUUGGCAUCCCUUGGUAGUUCCUAUUGUGCUUUGAACAACCUCUCCUUAAAAUGUCACAAAUGCAUACAGGUGGGUGGAGAUCUUUGUGGCUCAUGUUUUUCAUUUAACACAGUUCUAUUUUUAUUUUGCAAGAGGUCACACAAGAGGUUGAGGGAAGAGAUCAGCUCUGGGGAGCUUGUGCUCACUUCUGUCUAAACAGUUUGCUUUAAUACUGGAUGGACCUGACAUAAAUGAAAGAAGUGAUAAUCAGGGUAAUAUGCCUGGCUCUUGCUUAAAGUUGGAAGAUUGGGUUUUAUUAUCAUCAAAACAAAACACAAUAGUGGCAGUCAUGUUUGCAUUCCCAGGGUGAAUGGAAUGAAUGGAAUUCCAAUAAUGUAGAUCAUUGUUAUUCUGUUCUACUUACUAUUUCUAAAACUGAAUUCACAAUUGGUGGGUGUACAGUCUCUUCCCCAUUCUUAACAGGUUGCCAAUGUGCACCAGAACAUGCAAACAUUUAUUAAAUCAAGGCAUGAAUAAAUUUUGAUGCGAUCACAUGACUGCAUCAGGAUUGCUUCUCAUGCUGUGAUGAAAUUGAUGUGCAUAUGUUGUGGCGUGCUUCAGUAACUAAUAAGAGGGUGGGGUGAGGGAAAGCACAUGAACUGAUGAAUACACAAAACUGAACAUCAGCUGCAGUAUGAACAAUGUAUAAAACAAUAGUACAGUGGUACCUUGGUUUAUGAACUUAAUCCGUUCCGGAAGUCAGUUCUUAAACCGAAGCAUUCUUAAACCAAGGCACGCUUUCCCAUAGAAAGUAAUGCAAAAUGGAUUAAUCCGUUCCAGACUUUUAAAAACAACCCCUAAAUCAGUAAUUUAACAUGAAUUUUACUAUCUAACAAGACCACUGAUCCACAAAAUGGAAGCAAUAAUCAAUGCACUGUGCUAUAAAAUAAAUAAAACAGUGUUGUAGAUUAUUAAAAUUUAAAAAAAAAUUCUUACCUGCACUGAUGAUAGUCAUCAUUUGGAUGUAGGGCUUUUAUCCAUUUCUGGUCACACAUUCAAGCAAGCAAGCAAGCAAGCAAGCAAGCAAGCAGUAGCUAAACUGGGAUCCACACAGAUCCCCCCACCACGCUGCUGCAGGAAAUGCUCCCUAGAGCGUGUACCUCCCACAGCGGCAUGGGGGAGAGUUGCAAGCCCGCCAACCAUGUGGCUGGUGGGUGCACAGCUCCCGUCUCUCGUGGCUGCAGGAAACGCUCUCCUCCCACAGCGGCAUGGGAGUAGGUGUUGUGCACCUGCAAACCAGCUGGUUGGUGGGCGCGCAGCUUCCCUUCCUUGUGGCUGCAGGAAACACUGUGACAGCCUCCUUUUCCACUGCUGCACAAUGGAAGUGUGGCACUAAAAACAGAAGUGUACCCCGAACGGAGUGCAUUCGUAUACCAAUAAAAAUCCGCAACUCAUUUCUGGGUCUGAAGUGUUCAUAAUCCAAAAAGCUCGUUAACUAGGCUGUCCGUAACCCAAAUUACCACUCUACCGCUUUUGUAAGGCAACACCAAUGGCUAAAAGAACAUACUGGGUGGUCCAUAAGAACUGUGAUGAAGGGAGCAGGUCCAAUAAGUGUGUCUCACACUCACAUGACUGGAAUUACAUAAGGGAGAACAAGUAAGGAGGAUAUGUUUCCAGGUGUGGAUUGUGUGAUGGGUACACACUUGAGGGUGUUCCUGUGUAGAACUCAAUGAGGGUAUAGCCCAUGCGCCAGUGUCCACUAUAGUUGAGUUGUACAAAUUGGCAUGUGCACACUCACUCACUCACUCACUCACACACACACACACACACACACACAAAAAGCCAUACAUGUGUAGAAAUACUAUGUACCUAUGCUCAGUGUAACAGCCCCCUUGUGUUUUGCGCAAGUUGGAACAUAGGAAGCUUACUUCUGUUGAGUGGAACCAUUGGCCUAUUUGUCAGCUACAGUCACAAGCAGCAGCUCUUUGGGGAUUUACACAGGUGUCUUUCCCAGAUGUGCCUUGGUAUGAACAUGGGACUUUUCCAACGUACUUGCCAUUGAACAACAACUCUUGCUUGCAGUGUGGAAGAGCUAGUUGGAAAUAUGACACGGUCAGGAAUGUUGCUUUACAGGUUACACGGGUUCAGUAUCUCAUUCCCUUGUGCAUGAAUUCUGUUACGAUUUAGAUAUAAUGCAUUUCAGGGUGAUAAUUCAGAGAUUCCUUCAGUAAGUUACAUUCUCUUGGGGAAUUUUCUUUUUUUUUAAAAUAAAAUAAAAUGCUGCUGCCAAGUAUCUCCAACAAAAUGUAGCCUCCUCCGCUGACUUGUUACAUUCUUCAUUGGGCUUCAGUAACAUUAAGGAAAAGAUAACAAGAUAAUUGAGUUGCAAAGUCAAUACUAAACUAAUCCAUAAACUGUAGAUAUUUUCCCCUCUAGCAUCUUCUUUCCAGGAAGCAAAAUGUUCAAGUUAAUUUAACCAUCCUAAUUUAACUUAGAGGCUGAUAAUCUGAUUGCUUGUCUUUUACAAUAAGGGUGGAGGAGAGAAGUAAAGAUAGAAAACUCUAAUGUAGCAUCUCAGAAUUCAUGACAUAUUGGAGUCAUUUAGUAGGGUUUCCUUUUAUAUAAUUUCAAGAGUAUGCUAACUUGGAUACAGGGAAAGUGUUCUUCGAUUAUGGUGACAUAAAUGUCAUAUUUAUGGGAGUGAAUUGACUUGAUGUAUUCGGAAGCAUGCAUUGAUUUUUAUUUUUUUAAGCCCUUCACCAACCUGGUGCCCUGCAGAUGCUUUAUAACUCCCAUCAGUUCCAUCAAGCAUGGCCAAUGUUCAGGGAUGGUGGGAAUCAGUAGUGCCACCUUGAAUAAAAUAUUGUGUGGGACUGCCCCCCACUCCACAUGGAAGGUCUUAUGAUCCCAUAAUCUUAUACUUUUUUAUCCGCCCCUUCAUCAAAAUUCUGUCCAUGAUUACCCAAACCACCAGCUCCUUGUUUGAAGCUGAGGUUUGCAAUAGUUUCUUCUUGUUCCAUUUCUAUAGGUGAAUUCAGUGAAAGGGGUUUUGUUUUUUGGUUUUUUUUGGAAGCUGUACUUUAUCCAACUGAAAGAGCAUUUGUUGACCCCACCUCCCUUUUCAUUUUUCUUCUGGGCUCCUGAUUUGUAAGAAAACGUUCUGGAGAUAUCAUUUAUAAAUUAAUAUUUUUUUAUAUCUG
rnacentral:lncRNA from 1 species